rnacentral:lncRNA from 1 species
AUUUUAAGACAAAUAAAGUCGAAUGUCACAUAAAAGUUACAUUUUAAUGUGAUUUUUAUCCGAUUUUAGAUAGAUUUUAGAUUUUUAUCCGAUUUUCUCUAUUCAAAUAAUUGUUUUUAUGUCAAAUAUUAUAAGACCCUUACAUUUUGUACUUUUCAGAUUAUAACAAAUUUCUUAAAAUAUAUAAUGGCCGAUGAUGAUGAAGAUGGGUUUCCUCGUAAAUCUGCAAGGACUAGAAAUGGUUGGAGUACUGUAAGAGAGAAAAAUGAGGAAAGCUCCUUGGUUACUACACGUUUUAGAAGUCCACCUCCAAUGAGAUAUACCUCUCCUAGGACUAGCAGGGAUUGUCAACCAGGAACCUCAAGUACAUUCUUUAACAUAAGUUUAGCUCCACAGAAAACUAAUAGGUGUAGAAGAACAAUCUACAUACUUCAGUAUCCACUACAUAUGUUUGUACCAAACAGACUAUUCACACUGGGAAAAGUUUGUCGUAGAAUAUAUAGUAGAAUAUAAGUAAGAUUAACGCAAAACUAUCCUGUGCACAAAAGACAAUUUCAAGAUCUAUGCUUUGCAUUGGAGGGGAGUGUACGAAAAGUAACAGGGGAGAAUUUACUGGAGUAUGCGUUUUGAGAGAACUGUCAAGUCUUUGGGACAAAGGUGGAUUUGAUUCAAGAUUUCGGGUUACAGAACAAGUAGUGAAGAAGAAGCUUGAGAAAUCUUAUGACCACGAAAAAACUGUGUAGUCUUAGAACCCUUAUGGAAAUAAACAAGAUCAAAGAAGAGCAAUAUAAAACAAAAACAGAGAGUUUUAUAAAAGAAGCAAACUGUGUUUUUCCUGUUUAUAAAAUAGACAUUUAAAACUUAUAAGAGAUGACGAAAAUAGAGACAAGCAAACAAAGACAGAAUAUAUUGAGUUCCUGAAGAGAACAUUCAAAGGAGAAAUGGUUAAGUUUGACACUAAGAAAGAGAAAUCUUAUCAAGAAAAAAUCAUAGGCAGCGAAAAACGAAUGUUAGAUAUGAUAAAAAGAAUACGUAGAAAAGAACAACAUAAAAAAGAAAAACGAAAAAUCUCAAAGAAAAAAGCUAUAGAGGACAUAGAAAGGAUGAAAGGUUUGGAGAACUAUUUCCAAGUGGUACGAGUGCUACUGAUACUGACAGCGAAUUUGAGCCUUGCUAAAAAAAAAAAGAAGAUCAGUGAAGAUAGAGUUUACAUGGAGCUUUCAAUGAAUGAUGUUCUUGACAAGUGAAUUCCUUUCUUGACUAGGUACAAGGUCAGUGUUCGAGCUGAAACUUCACUUUUGUCCUCACUUUUCAAGGUUGGUGGUGUUGAUCUAAAUACAGUUACUGUAUCAAAGAGUAGUCUACAUAGAAACGAAAAGAUUGUGAUUGAAAAUGAAGGUAGAAUAGUGAGAGAAGAAAAUCUGGACAAAGUUCGGGGUUUAAAGGUUAUCAUUCAUUUUGAUACAAAACUGGUCAAACACUAGUGAACUGACCAAAAAAUGCCUGAAACUGUAGAAAGGCUUGCUCUCAGUAUAUCAUCCCCCUAGGUCAAUGAUCCCAUAGAUUUUUUGCUAGAAAUUAAGUCAUCUAAAAGGCAGGAUCAAGCUAUAGCUUUUCAAAACAUAUUAGAGUUUUAUGAACUCACUGACCAGAUCAUUGGAUGAAGUGCCAAUAAAACGACCUCUAAUACUGGAAAAUACAAGGGGGCAAUUAAGUUCUUGGUGAAUCAUGUGCUUAAAAGACCUGUGCUAUGGCUGCUCUGUAGGUAAUUAAAUUAUUUUGAUAACAUAUUUUAAAAGUUUGUUGCACAAAACUGUUGUAAAGUUAUUACAUUUUAUAUCUUUUGAAAAUCGAUCUUUAAAGGCACCAUAUAUCUGAAAGGCAUAUUUCCCAUGCAAUGGAUUAUAUUCAAGGUUCAACAAAAUCUCCAUCAUGUGCAAUACAUAAAUAUUUUCAAAAAGUCUGGCCAGAAAUAAAAGAAAGGACAAAUAAUAUUGAUCAGUUGCUUUUUUUCAAUUAUGGCAGAGGAGUAUAUGGUAGGUACUGAUUUUCAUAGAAGGGUAUUAGAUACUAAGAACUUCUGAAUAACAACCCUAAAACAAGAUUGCUUUCAAAGGGGAGAUUAUAAAGUUUUUUGUGAGCUAACAGUGAUUUACUUUGGUGGCCAUAUACCUGGUUUCCAGUUCAAACAACCAGGUGCCCACCAUUAAGCAAGGUUCAUGGCUGAUUGUCUAUACUUGCUUACAAUGCAGCUGACUUCAAAGAUUAAUUUAAUGCUGAAUAAAAGUGAAAAA